rnacentral:rRNA from 1 species
AUACAUAGGGAGCGAGCGUUGUCCGGAAUUACUGGGCGUAAAGGGCGCGUAGGCGGCGCUUCAAGUCGUCUGUCAAAUGGGAGGGCUUAACCCUUUUUCGCAGACGAAACUGGAGAGCUUGAGAAGCAGAGAGGCAAACAGAAUUCCUGGUGUAGCGGUGAAAUGCGUAGAUAUCAGGAAGAAUACCAGUGGCGAAGGCGGUUUGCUGGCUGCAUACUGACGCUGAAGCGCGAAAGCCAGGGGAGCAAACGGGAUUAGAUACCCCGGUAGUCCUGGCAGUAAACGAUGUAUGCUGGGUGUGAGACUAGCGAUAGUUUCGUGCCGAAGUUAACGCGAUAAGCAUACCGCCUGGGGAGUACGGUCGCAAGAUUGAAACUCAAAGGAAUUGACGGGG